UCUCUCUGUUUUUAGAAAAUGUGGUUUUAAAAAUAUGUACACAUUUCUCGGUAUUGUUAUAGUACAAUCACUUUUGAUAUUUGAAUAUCUAAUAAUUAAGUUUCAAUGAUGGAUUUAUCUGAACGUUUAUCGAAUCUUAUGUCUGAGAAAAUUACGCCUUUCGUUAAAAGUGGCGAGUGUUCAGAUGAAGUUUCUUUGUGUUUUGAUGAUGGGAGGAAACUUUACGUUUCACGAAACUUCCUCUGUUAUGCUUCUCCUGUCUUUAAGACUAUGUUUCAAAUGAAAGAACCAGACGAAAUAGAAGUUAUCAUGUCAGGAGCAGUGUAUGGUGACUUUCUAGAGCUGCUUUCGUGUCUUCAUCCUGGUGUGCAGAAGCAAAUUGAUUGUACCAACGUUUUGCGUAUUGUGUCUCUUGCAAAGGAGUAUCAAAUACAAAGCUUCGAGAAAAGAUGCCAAAAAGUAAUGAUAAAAUGGUUGUCUAUAGAGGUUGAUUCUGCUUGUUCUAAAGAUGGUGAUAUAAAGAAGGUACAGAAUGCCAAAACAUGUCUCAAUAUAUUAAUCAAGGCAAUAGCUCUGGACUAUGAAGACGUUGUCACCCAUGCAAUAGAAGUUUUAGCAAGAUUUGGCUUUGACGUAUUUACUGGUGUUAUGACAAAACCUGCAUUCAAAUUCGGAGAAUCUAAUUUUUCAAAGGCGCCGCCCGUCUCUUUGGCUUUUGGUAAAAAGGAUGAAAAACCAGAAAUCAAAUAUACAAAUGACAAAAGCUUCAAUUUCUUUACUCCGGCUCCGACUAAUUCGGGUACAGAAGAUUCAAUGGACGCCUGCAAAGAAUUGUAUGAUAGUUUAUCAGAAGAUAUAAAAACUAGACUACUUCUGCAACGACUAAAAUUAUGUGAUGACUGUUUCAUGCGCAAAGUGCUAAGUGAUGGUAAAAGUAUCGUAGUCAACCAGUCUUCAAAAUAAUAUACAAUUUAUCACCUGAAAUUAAUAUAUUUUAAUAUGACUUAAUCUAAGGCUCCCAAGCAUACAAUGUUUGUCCCGACUCCAUUGCAGUGUGUCCUAUACUGUAUUUUUAUCAAACGUAGUACAUGUAGUAAGUAAUCAAAUUGGAAAUAUGAAUACAAUGACUUUUAUAACACAAAGAAGUAUCACCGUUUAAACGGUAGUGUUUCAGUUUUUAGCAUUCAUGAUAACGUUUACAAACGUGGGAGCCUUAAGUUGAGUAGAUCUAUAAAUAGUUGUUUUUGUUUGAUUCUUAUGAAAAUAUGUAAAUGAUAUAAUGCUAUAGAUAUGAAUGUUUUAAGUCACUUUUGUCAAUGGCCUAGGGAUAAUUCUAGCGGGGACCAGACCAACCAAAUAAUUACCAUUGUUUACAUAUCUAUCAACAACAACUCUUUCACUAUUAUUUCGCAGGAAAAUAAACUAUGUGUCAAGAAAUGUAUGUUUAAUUUUCAUUAUGAUAUUUAAUUGCUUAUAAAAUGCCUGAAACAAUUUUGUUUUUAAAUUGCCUGGAACAACGUGAAUUUGAAAUUAUCGUAUAAUAUUUUGUAUUAAUUUAACAAACUAAUAAUAAUUCUAGUAACACUAACUGAAAGCUUUUUUGUUACUUAAUAUUUAAUAUCAUAAUAGUUCUAAAAUAAAGCAAAUAUUAAAAUAGAGAAAAACAGAAUCCCUAACGAUAGAUCAACACGGCAAAAUUGUUAAAUGUUGCAGGCUCGGUUUGAUUGAGCCUGUUCAUGGACGGUACUGGAAAGUGCAAGUUACCGUCCACGCCCCCUAGCACCGGCUUAAGUUCGUGUUAUUUUUUUACCUAAUAAAAUAUUUAUUAAAGAACACCAGCGUUUGAUUUUGAUAUGCACUAAAAUGAAAUGAAAAACAUGUCUAAAUCAUUUACCUUGUACCCGACAAAUAACUGGAGAAGGACAUGAAAAAGAACGCACAUUAUAUAUAUGCAUGCCGUUUUACUUAAGAUAAUAAUGCCAGAUAGCGCGGUAACCAUUUUUGCUAAAAUUUCUACUUUUCAACUUCAGCCUUCUUCUGUAUUGAACAAAGUCUGCAUUUUAGCUCAUCUGAGCUCACUAUUCAAAUUAUUGCCUUUAGAUCAAAAUUGGCCCCGCUCCAGGGGGGGGGGGGUGCGCUUUGAUUUUCCUUAUAUGUUAUAAUAAAUUCAAAAGAAUAUUCUUCUAUUAUACUACAGAGGCUUUAGCUAAGAUAUUCAAAUGGUAUUAAACAUGGUCCGAUGGACCUCUGCAAUAAUUGUUCAAAUUAUGGUUCUUGGGUUAUAACUGGUCCCGCCCCAGGUGGUGUUUGAUUUUCCUUACAUGUUUAUAGUAAAAAAAAGUCUCUUUUUAUAAUAUUCAAGAUGCUUUAGAUUAGAUAUUUGGUUUAAAAAUUGUCUGGUGGGCCUCUACAAAUAUUGUCAAAAUAAAGCUCUUUGGUCAAAUAUGGCUCAACGGGGGCAUGCCUUUUCCUUUUACAGUUAAUACUUAAAAAUGUCUUCUUAAAAACUAAAAGGGCCUUAUGUAAGAUAUUAUACAUGAAACAUUGUUUUGUGGACAUCUACAAAACUUGUUCAAAUCAUAGCCUUCGAGUCAAAAUUGGCCCCGCCCCGGGGUCAUAGAACCAGUGAAUUUCCAUAGUAAACAUUAAAUCCCAUGGUAGCCAUUAGAUUUUCAUAGCAACAAUUUACUUACAUAGAAACCAAUGACUUCCCAUUGCAACCAGUGAAUAGCAUAGAAACCAAUGACUUUUAAAAGCAACCAUAUACCUCUUAAGCAACAUGUGACUUUCUGUAGCAACAAAUGGCUUUCCAUUGCAAUUAUUGACUUUCCUUAGCAACCAUUGUCUUCCAUAACAACCAGUGACUUUCCAUAAAAGCCAUGCAAUUCCAUAGCAACCAGUGACAUUCUACAUCAACUGAUUACUUUUCAUAGUAGAUAUUGACAUGCAUAGCAACCAGUGUUUUCAUAUAGACCUCCAUAACAACCUUUGCCAUAUCAACUAGUGCCUUUAAUAGCAACCAUUGACUCGCAUAGGAACCAGUGACUUCAUAUAGCAAUCAUAGUCUUCCAUUACAAUACUUCCUUUCCAUAGCAACCUUUGCCAUAUCAACUAGUGCCUUUAAUAGCAACCAUUGACUCGCAUAGGAACCAGUGACUUCAUAUAGCAAUCAUAGUCUUCCAUUACAAUACUUCCUUUCCAUAGCAACCAUAUACUUCCAUAGCAACAAGUUACUCUCUUUAGCAGCCAGUGACUCCAUGUUAACACAUUUUUUCCAUAGCAACCAGUAACUUUCCAUAGUAGCUAUAGACUUACAUUCCAAAAGCAAUAAGUGACUCACCUUGGAGCCAUUAACUUUCCAGGGCAAACUGUAAAUUUCUAUAGCAACCAGUCACAUUCAUAGCAAACAUCUUUCAAUUGCAGCGUGAAUUUCAUAGCGUCCCCACUGACUUCCAAGGAAACCAUAAAUUGUGUAUAGCAACUAGUGACUUCUUUUGAAACUAUUGUAUUCUUUGAAAAAUAGCAAUUAAUUUUUUUAUUUUUACAAGGGCACUUUUUUCAGAUACAGAUAUGAAUUUUAUGAUCAUAACAGUUCAAUAUUUAGAUUUUAUAUAUGCUUUUAUAUUCAGGUGAGCGAUAUCAAGACCAUGGUCCUCUUGUUUAUCUUAUUUUGUCGUUUCCAUUACUGUCAAUAGAUAAUUUUCACCAUUUCAUAAGCAUUUCAGCUUUUCGUUGCUUUGGCCCGAAAGUUAUGCUGGCUUAACAUUUGUUAAAUUUAUGAACAGUGUAUGACGGGAGCGUGUGUUUUUUAUUUUUAAAAAGAAAAUAGUUGCACAAUCUCAAUGAACAAACAAAUUGAAGUACUUAAUCACGAGUGAGAGAAACGAAUCACCAGGUAUAAAAUAAAACUCAAUCUCUUAUUCUUUAUUGACAGACCAGAUUGAGUACAGAGAUAAAAUAAUGUUUAUCAGUUGGUAGUUUCAGUUUAGAUUUUGAGAAAUGUCUAAUUCAGUACUGACCUAGUUUUUAAAAUGCACCGUGCAUAUAUUUUCAUAAAAAUGUUAAUGUGUGAUAGAGGUCAGGUACAUUCGACAAAUCUUGCUGUUAAAUUUACCGAAAAUUAUAAAAUUUGACCUAUUCGGGUUUUAAUAAUGCUACAUUUAGAUAUUCUUAUAAAAUAUGUAUUUUAAGCAAACAUAGGUAGUUUUAGUUUAAAUUCGUAGAAGAAAAAUCUCGCUAUUAAACUUUGGGAAAACAAUUAAAAUAAAAGAUUUAAAACUACAUGUAUUCUAGUUUUAAUAAUGCUAAGUGUUAACAAAUGUGCAUUGAAACAUACAUUAGGUAGCUUAAAUCUUGCUGUAAAAUUUCCGAAAAAGAAAACAAAAAACUAUUCGAUUUUUAAAAAUGCUAUGUACAUGUUUACAUUUUCAUAGAAAGUGUAUUUAUAACAGACAUUGUGUAGUUUCGAUUUAGAUUGCUGUGUGUUUAUCCGAAAACUGUAUAAUAUUUACAAAACUGUGUAAAGGAACAAAAAAUUAUGGAUAAGUUUGAAAGUUGUGAGGCUGUUUCAUUGACGAAACAUUUUGAGGUUAGUGGGGAAUGUUCUGAUGAAAUUGUUUUCACUUUUGAUGAUGGUAAGAAACUAUAUGUAUCACAAAACUUCUUGUGUUAUGCGUCACCAGUAUUUAAAGAGAUGUUUAAAGAUAAAUAUGGAGGGACAGAAACCAAAGACAUUGAAAUGAAAGAAAACUCAAGUGAUUUUCUAGAGCUACUGUUGAUGUUACAUCCGGGAGUACAUAAACCUAUUGAUAGCAAAAAUGUUUUGCGAGUCGUCACUCUUGUGGAAAAAUACCAAAUUCAACCUUCAAUAAGGAGAUGCCAAAAUGUGAUGAAAAGAUGGUUAACAUCGGAAGUUGAUUCUGCUGUAAAAGUCCUAAGUAACGAAAAUAGAGUGACGUAUGCAAGGACAUGUCUGACCAUACUGAUUAAAGCGAUAUCUCUUGGCUACGACGACGUUGUUGCACACGCUGUUGACGUUUUAGCAAGAUUCGGGCAUGACAUGUUUACUGGGUCAGGGAAAAAAUCUUCAUUUGAACUUGAUGGAUCCUUUAAUUUUGGUAAGUCUGCACCUACUGUUAAAAUUGAUAUCGAGGAGAAAGUAUCCAAGGGAUCUCUUGGUGACGAGUCAAUAAAUUCUACUGCAGCUACGAAAUCGGAGCCAGAAUGCCCAUUAAACGCCUGCAAAGAACUUUUUGAAAGUUUACCAGCAAAUAUGAAAACUCGACUUCUUCUACAGCGACUGAAAUUAUGUGAUAACUGUCUAAUGCGCAAAACAACUUUAUAGAAAUUUGCAUUCUGUAACGUGAGUCUCCAAAAUAUGCAAACGUUUUGUCUACUUUGUCAAUUCCAGCGCAUGUGGUAAAGAAAAUGUAAAUGAUACAUACUUAGUUGUGUUAUUACAAGAUUUGUACCUACAAAAGAAGGGAGCAUUUCUUUCGUCAAUCGUGUAUAACAGAAAAAUUCUUUAUUAUUUAAUUAUUGAGAUAUUUUGAAUAUAAUACAUUUUUUUUCGAUUCAAUAUAGGAUCGUCAACAGUAUGUUCCUAUCAAAUUUGAAAGACAUUGGUAAACAAUAAAGGCUGAAUAAGCAAACAUUUAAAUUCUA